rnacentral:pre_miRNA from 1 species
UCUUACAGAUGAGCAAAGAAAGUAUUUCUUGAGAUGGAAUCUACUUUUGGUGAAGAUGCUGUGAA